CUGACAGGAAAACAAAAGCCCUAAACAAUGUUUAAGGGAAGGACACUGUAGGAGUUUGCAAAUGACAUUUUUUGCAUGCAAAAGAUCAAUGUUGGAUACCAGGGCAAGAUUCAGAGGAAGGAAGGGAUACUGAUAUCCUCGUGAAGAGACCCAGCCAUGGGAAAUCAGGGUUCAUCAGCACUUUAAGCAAAACAGAGACUAAAGUAAGAUGAUUGUAUCUGCUGCAUCCUUUCAUGCAGUAUAUUUGUGGAAGGUGCCUACUCCUGAGUAUUCCAAUAGAUUGACGUGUAUGUGCGUUUAAAUGUUAAAAAGAAGGCAAGCAUAAACCUGCAAGUUCUGGCCAAAAUGGGUACUUGUCACGCACUUGCAAUAAAAUAUGUGAAAUCCAGAAUAAUCUGCGGAGGUU